UAAAGGAAGCGAUUCCGGCUACGGAUGGUCAUGCGUCGCAUUAGCUUGUUGGCGGGGUAACGGCCCACCAAGGCGACGAUGCGUAGGGGUUCUGAGAGGAAGGUCCCCCACACUGGUACUGAGACACGGACCAGACUCCUACGGGAGGCAGCAGUGAGGAAUAUUGGUCAAUGGCCGCAGGGCUGAACCAGCCAAGUCGCGUGAGGGAUGACGGUCCUAUGGAUUGUAAACCUCUUUUGUCAGGGAGCAAAGGGCGCCACGUGUGGCGUUUUGCGAGUACCUGAAGAAAAAGCAUCGGCUAACUCCGUGCCAGCAGCCGCGGUAAUACGGAGGAUGCGAGCGUUAUCCGGAUUUAUUGGGUUUAAAGGGUGCGCAGGCGGAAUGUCAAGUCAGCGGUAAAAUUUCGGGGCUCAACCCCGUCGUGCCGUUGAAACUGGCGUUCUUGAGUGAGCGAGAAGUAUGCGGAAUGCGUGGUGUAGCGGUGAAAUGCAUAGAUAUCACGCAGAACUCCGAUUGCGAAGGCAGCAUACCGGCGCUCAACUGACGCUCAUGCACGAAAGCGUGGGUAUCGAACAGGAUUAGAUACCCUGGUAGUCCACGCAGUAAACGAUGAAUACUAACUGUCCGGGCAGAAUGAUGCCUGG
rnacentral:rRNA from 1 species